rnacentral:misc_RNA from 1 species
UCUCCGUUGGUGAACCAGCGGAGGGAUCAUUACCGAGUUUUACAACUCCCAAACCCAAUGUGAACCAUACCAAACUGUUGCCUCGGGCGGGGUCACGCCCCGGGUGCGUCGCAGCCCCGGAACCAGGCGCCCGCCGGAGGGACCAACCAAACUCUUUCUGUAGUCCCCUCGCGGACGUUAUUUCUUACAGCUCUGAGCAAAAUUCAAAAUGAAUCAAAACUUUCAACAACGGAUCUCUUGGUUUCUGGCAUCGAUGAAGAACGCAGCGAAAUGCGAUAAGUAAUGUGAAUUGCAGAAUUCAGUGAAUCAUCGAAUCUUUGAACGCACAUUGCGCCCGCCAGUAUUCUGGCGGGCAUGCCUGUCCGAGCGUCAUUUCAACCCUCGAACCCCUCCGGGGGGUCGGCGUUGGGGAUCGGGAACCCCUAAGACGGGAUCCCGGCCCCGAAAUACAGUGGCGGUCUCGCCGCAGCCUCUCCUGCGCAGUAGUUUGCACAACUCGCACCGGGAGCGCGGCGCGUCCACGUCCGUUAAACACCCAACUUCUGAAAUGUUGACCUCGGAUCAGGUAGGAAUACCCGCUGAACUUAA